UACGUAGGGUGCAAGCGUUGUCCGGAAUUAUUGGGCGUAAAGAGCUCGUAGGCGGUUUGUCGCGUCUGCCGUGAAAGUCCGGGGCUCAACUCCGGAUCUGCGGUGGGUACGGGCAGACUAGAGUGAUGUAGGGGAGACUGGAAUUCCUGGUGUAGCGGCGAAAUGCGCAGAUAUCAGGAGGAACACCGAUGGCGAAGGCAGGUCUCUGGGCAUUAACUGACGCUGAGGAGCGAAAGCAUGGGGAGCGAACAGG
rnacentral:rRNA from 1 species